GUGGGGAAUAUUGGACAAUGGGGGAAACCCUGAUCCAGCGACGCCGCGUGAGUGAAGAAGUAUUUCGGUACGUAAAGCUCUAUCAGCAGGGAAGAAAAUGACGGUACCUGACUAAGAAGCACCGGCUAAAUACGUGCCAGCAGCCGCGGUAAUACGUAUGGUGCAAGCGUUAUUCGGAUUUACUGGGUGUAAAGGGAGCGUAGACGGCAUAGCAAGUCUGAAGUGAAAUGCGGGGGCUCAACCCCUGAACUGCUUUGGAAACUGUUAAGCUAGAGUGUCGGAGAGGUUAGUGGAAUUCCUAGUGUAGCGGUGAAAUGCGUAGAUAUUAGGAGGAACACCGGUGGCGAAGGCGGCUAACUGGACGAUAACUGACGUUGAGGCUCGAAAGCGUGGGGAGCAAACAGG
rnacentral:rRNA from 1 species